CGACUUGCAAAUACUCACAUUGUUAGUUUAAACCUAAAAAAAAAAACUAAAAUGACCAAAUUUACUUUAUUGCUAUCAAUUAUUUUAAUUAUUGGCUUCUAUACUAGUGCAGUUGAAGCAUGUCACGGAAAUUGGUGUCAUCCUUUUAAAGGCUAUCAUUGUAAUUGUGUCAAUCACGUUUGUAGUUCAUAUUUCUUUCAAGGCAACUGCCGAACCAGUUUGGAAGAUCUCAUAGAUAAAAUGGGUUGAAAUCAAUAAAAUAAUGUGUGGAAAAAUCUGAAAGUGCAAGUCUCCAACGCUCAUGUUUUAUAUUGAAUAAUCAAUUUACUUUUAUUAAUUG